UGAAAUAAUAUUAACCCACGUUAACAUCAUAGCCCGGGAUUUAUUGGGUAUCAAAAAACCCAACAAAUCUCCACCUUGAUGCCCAAUAAAUCUGCAAGCAAUCAAAACACACAGUUAACACUUGCAUAAUCAAGGUAGCCAAUAAAAUUGGAUCACAGACCUUACCUCGUGUUUCCAACUUGAAACACAUACCAUACCUGCUCCA
rnacentral:lncRNA from 1 species